AUUGAACGCUGGCGGCAGGCCUAACACAUGCAAGUCGAACGAGAGGCGGACGGGUGAGUAAUGUCUGGGAAACUGCCUGAUGGAGGGGGAUAACUACUGGAAACGGUAGCUCAUACCGCAUACCCUCGGAUGUGCCCAGAUGGGCUUAGCUAGUAGGUGGGGUAACGGCUCACCUAGGCGACGAUCCCUAGAUGGUCUGAGAGGAUGACCAGCCACACUGUAACUGAGACACGGUCCAGAGUCCUACGGGAGGCAGCAGUGGAGAAGAUUGCGCAAUGGGCGCAAGUCUGAUGCAGCCAUGCGGCGUGUAUGAAGAAGGCCUUCGGGUUGUAAAGUACUUUCAGCGGGGAGGCGUUACCCGCAGAAGAAGCACCGGCUAACUCCGUGCCAGCAGCCGCGGUAAUAC
rnacentral:rRNA from 1 species